UACGUAGGGUGCAAGCGUUGUCCGGAAUUAUUGGGCGUAAAGAGCUCGUAGGCGGUGUGUCACGUCGGCCGUGAAAACCUGCAGCUUAACUGUGGGCGUGCGGUCGAUACGGGCAUCACUGGAGUUCGGCAGGGGAGACUGGAAUUCCUGGUGUAGCGGUGAAAUGCGCAGAUAUCAGGAGGAACACCGGUGGCGAAGGCGGGGUCUCUGGGCCGGACCUGACGCUGGAGA
rnacentral:rRNA from 1 species